rnacentral:rRNA from 1 species
AGAGUUUGAUCCUGGCUCAGAUUGAACGCUGGCGGCAUGCCUUACACAUGCAAGUCGAACGGCAGCACGGGGGCAACCCUGGUGGCGAGUGGCGAACGGGUGAGUAAUGCAUCGGAACGUGCCCUGAAGUGGGGGAUAACGUAGCGAAAGUUACGCUAAUACCGCAUAUUCUGUGAGCAGGAAAGCAGGGGAUCGCAAGACCUUGCGCUUUAGGAGCGGCCGAUGUCGGAUUAGCUAGUUGGUGGGGUAAAAGCUCACCAAGGCGACGAUCCGUAGCGGGUCUGAGAGGAUGAUCCGCCACACUGGGACUGAGACACGGCCCAGACUCCUACGGGAGGCAGCAGUGGGGAAUUUUGGACAAUGGGCGCAAGCCUGAUCCAGCCAUGCCGCGUGAGUGAGGAAGGCCUUCGGGUUGUAAAGCUCUUUCGGCGGGGAAGAAAUUGCACUCUCUAAUACAGGGUGUAGAUGACGGUACCCGCAUAAGAAGCACCGGCUAACUACGUGCCAGCAGCCGCGGUAAUACGUAGGGUGCGAGCGUUAAUCGGAAUUACUGGGCGUAAAGCGUGCGCAGGUGGUUGUGUAAGUCAGAUGUGAAAUCCCCGGGCUCAACCUGGGAACUGCAUUUGAGACUGCACGGCUAGAGGAUGGCAGAGGGGGGUAGAAUUCCACGUGUAGCAGUGAAAUGCGUAGAGAUGUGGAGGAAUACCGAUGGCGAAGGCAGCCCCCUGGGCUAUUUCUGACACUCAUGCACGAAAGCGUGGGGAGCAAACAGGAUUAGAUACCCUGGUAGUCCACGCCCUAAACGAUGUCAACUAGAUGUUGGAAGGGUUAAACCUUUUAGUGUCGUAGCUAACGCGUGAAGUUGACCGCCUGGGGAGUACGGCCGCAAGGCUAAAACUCAAAGGAAUUGACGGGGACCCGCACAAGCGGUGGAUGAUGUGGAUUAAUUCGAUGCAACGCGAAAAACCUUACCUACCCUUGACAUGUCAGGAAUCCCGGAGAGAUUUGGGAGUGCUCGAAAGAGAACCUGAACACAGGUGCUGCAUGGCUGUCGUCAGCUCGUGUCGUGAGAUGUCGGGUUAAGUCCCGCAACGAGCGCAACCCUUGUCAUUAGUUGCUACAUUUGGUUGGGCACUCUAAUGAGACUGCCGGUGAUAAACCGGAGGAAGGUGGGGAUGACGUCAAGUCCUCAUGGCCCUUAUAGGUGGGGCUACACACGUCAUACAAUGGCCGGUACAAAGGGUUGCCAACCCGCGAGGGGGAGCUAAUCCCAUAAAGCCGGUCGUAGUCCGGAUCGCAGUCUGCAACUCGACUGCGUGAAGUCGGAAUCGCUAGUAAUCGUGGGUCAGAAUGUCACGGUGAAUACGUUCCCGGGUCUUGUACACACCGCCCGUCACACCAUGGGAGCGGGUUCUGCCAGAAGUAGUUAGCCUAACCGCAAGGAGGGCGAUUACCACGGCAGGGUACGUGACUGGGGUGAAGUCGUAACAAGGUAACCGUA